rnacentral:rRNA from 1 species
CCUAGGUGGGGCAGCAGUUUUUAAUAUUUCACAAUUUUUUUAACCCUUAUUCAUCUACUCCUCUUUUUUGAGGAAGUACUUCGGUAUGUAAAGCCCUAUCAGCAGGGAAGAAAAUGACGGUACCUGACUAAGAAGCCCCGGCUAACUACGUGCCAGCAGCCGCGGUAAACCGGUGGGGACAAGCGUUAUCCGGAUUUACGGGGUGGAAAGGGAGCGUAGACGGCGUGCCAAGGCCGGUGUGGAAGGCCGGGGCUCAACCCCGGGAUUGUAUGGGAAACUGGGAUGAUGGAGUGCAGGGGGGGCAGGCGGAAUUCGGGGGGUAGCGGUGAAAGGCGUAGAUAUGAGGAGGAAUCCCGAUGGCGAAGGCGGCUGGCUGGACCCUAACUGACGCUGAGGCUCGAAAGCGUGGGGACAAAACAGGAGUAGAUACCCGGGUAGUC